CCGCCCAAGGAGCGUUGCGACGGCCGGUUCAUCUCCGUGCUGCCAGGCUUGGGCCCGGUGCCGAACGGGUUUGCGUUCGCACCGCUGCAACGGCGCUCACCCGAC
rnacentral:ncRNA from 2 species